CUCUCUCUCUCUCUCUCUCUCUCCUACUUCAAUUAGUUUCAUCCUCAUGUGUGUUGGUCUCCCGACUCUGACCAUUCCUCCUCUUCUCCUCUCCCCCUCUCCCUCUAGUAAACCCGAAAACCCAAAAUCAUUGAAAGCCCAUUGAAGGAUUGAAACUUGUUUCAGUGUCAAUUGCAUAUAGAGCCCGCUGGUUGGAUGGUUUGUUUUUCCGAUUAGCUUCUUCAGGGGAUAGGUAGAGCUCUACAGGUUUGAAGGCUUCUCCUUGAUCAAAGAGGAGUUAGAGAUAAAGUAUGUAUGGAGAAAGGAAGGAUGAUUGAGCCUGGCUUUUAGCAGCCCCAUGAAUCGGAAUUUUUGGUGGAUGAGUACUGGAGUGAGUGGGCACUACUAAUGAAUG